ACUAGAUGUCAACCGUUUUUGUUCAAGGUUUCAGGCUUGUUUCUUCCCAAACGAGGAAGAAUUUUGAGUUUUGGUACUGGGAAUCAGAGUUGGAAAUCAGUCUGUGCGUGCGCGACGAAGUGGACGCGCAAUUGAUAAUUUAGUUUUUCUAUUGAACAUACUUCUUUCCGUAUGAAAUAUUAUAGUUUAAUUACAUUUUAGGGUACCUGAGGAUUAAAUAGAAAUGUAUUUUUUACUUGUUUUAACAAAGUUUAGCAGUAACUUUUUGGAUUCUUUUCUCUGCAUGUUGAACGAGUGGAUUACUCGAAUCGAUGGCGCCAGACUUUUUGGGAUAUAUAAAAAAACGAUUUUAUCUAACAGAACAACCAUGCAUGUUGUAGCUGGUACACUUGGGAUUACAAAUCAGAGGAAUAUUUUCAAAAAGUAAGUGAAUAUUUAAUCGCUAUUUGUGAUUUUACGAAGUCUGUGCUGGUUGAAAAAUAUUUUGAUGUGCGGCGCCGUCCUCAAAGAAUCGCAUGGCAUGCUUUCGCUGGAAAUCGGACAAUGCAGUUUGAUUAACAACAAUUUAAGCUUUUAACCGAUAUAAGACACUUGCAUGUACCUAGAUGUUUAAUAUCCAUCAUUUUUAUGAUUAUUUAUUUGAAUUUCACUCGAAGUUGUCGACAGGUGUCUCACUGGCGGGACGUCUAGCCCUAUCCCAUAGGCCUCUACAUUAUGGACAAGACUUCACCCUCCCUACAGCUCUGAUGAAUAUAACAGGAAACCUGUUUUAUCACCAUGCACGGCUCUCUAAUUUUGUCUAUGGAUAUCGAGAACAUCAACACAUUGACAUCAACACGCCAGAUAUACCCAUUGGACUCUGCUAAGAGUUUACCUCAAUUAGAUUUUUUUAUUCUGCUUUGCCACUAAAAUCAAAAUAAACACUGAGAACUAAAAUAUUGUAUCAUUGCUGUUAUUGUAAUGCACAUUAUUAUUAUUAUUAUUAUUAAUAAUAAUACCAACAGGGGAGGGGGUAGUUCAAACAUUUACCCUAACAGGUUUUUCGAGGAUACAUUAAAAGGGGUU
rnacentral:lncRNA from 13 species